ACUCUGCUUUCUCCCCGGUGCAGGUCCCAAAGACUCCUUGCACUCUGCUUUCUCCCCGGGCAGGUCCCAAAGACUCCCUGCACUCUGCUUUCUCCCCGGGCAGGUCCCAAAGACCCCCUGCACUCUGCUUUCUCCCCGGGCAGGUCCCAAAGACCCCCUGCACUCUGCUUUCUCCCCAGUGCAGGUCCCAAAGACCCCCUGCACUCUGCUUUCUCCCCGGGCAGGUCCCAAAGACCCCCUGCACUCUGCUUUCUCCCCGGGCAGGUCCCAAAGACUCCCUGCUCUCUGCUUUCCCCAGUGCACAGAAACCCCGGUAAACCCUCAGGCAGUUCCCCUUCCCAGGUGAAGUCGUGGCAGAAACACUCACCCCAUUGCUCGCCAUGCCUUCGCUGCCGUGGCCUGUCUGUGCUAUGUUUGGUAUGUGUAAAAAUGAUGCUACAAAUUGUCUACAAAGU